rnacentral:lncRNA from 1 species
CUGAGACUGCCUGGAGGAGUAAAUUUGGAAAAGCAGAAUUAGGAGGCUGAGGCAUAGGCAUAAAAGAUUGGAAUGAAUUACUUCCACGUGUUGCCAGUUGUAUGGUACUGGCAUGAACUGCAAAAGACUGCUGCAGGCAAUAAAAUGAUCCAGUUCCUCUAAUUUACUGCCAGUCCCUGUGCUAUACUACUGUCUCACUUUCAAGUAAUGUGAGCAGUCACACACUGUCAGCUAGGGAUCUGCCAUUUUAACCUUGACUAUUGGUCUCUUAGGUAGCUCUGCUACCAAUUUUACUGUGCUGUAGCUUUUUGCGUCUCUAAGGACUCUGCUACCAAACACCACUGUGUGCAGUCUUUACACUUUGGGAAAUUUCCAGCAGUAUUAUAGCACCGCUAACAUUGCUGUUUCCGCAAAAGUUUUAGAACCACAGACACCCUUAGGAUUUCCUUUGAUGUUCUUUCUGUUUCCCACAAGUGCUACCUUCCCUUUCAUCCUUUGAUUUAGACACAAGCACAGCCUGGCAUGCCCCAAAGAGUUGUUACUGUCCAAUAUCAUAGUACUCUACUGCCUCUUCCUUGACUUUUCCUUUCCUUGCAACAAGAACAUUACCAGCAACAAUUUCAACAUUCAAGAGAGCCCCCAGCGCCUGCUACACUUUCCACCGAAACGUCCCAAAUGCCAUACUAACUCCAAAGACAUCCUUAGUGAUAUCUACUGACAGACAACAAAAAGUUCUAGGUGCAGACCAACUAUCUGUAUUUCUGAACUCAUAGGGGAAAAUGAGAAAAGGAAAAAAAAAAAAGAAUUAAAAAAGGGAAGAAACCGCUCAAUACACACAUACCCCUUUCAUCCUGGACUGAUCAGUUGCUCGAUGAGAACUGGGAGUCACUAUUCAUCCACUGCUUGCUCUGUGUUAACUUGCUUACUGAAAGAUGCAGGUCUAAGAUUUUCUGUCCUCUUACAUAAAACAUAACUAAAUUAAGCCCCUCAUUGUUAUUCCAACAGCUAAUCUAAUGAUUUGAUCUUUAUAGGAGAAAGCUGCCCUUACUUUUCUCCUCCAAGAAUCAGAUAAAUUCCACAGACAUAAAAACCUGCAACAUUUUCACUGUAUGAAUUACAUAUCUCAAAAAUCAUUGUAUUUCUCCUUGGAGAACUGUACGUUUCCAUAGGGAGAGAACAGAUACCAGGAGACUUUCAGUUCAGUAUUCUCCUUUGCUUCCUGGCUUCAAUUAAGAGAAGAUUAAAACAGCCUCUCUCUGCUGUUUUAUUCUGUCUGUGAUUAGGACACUUGUCAAAUACCUUUUUCAGCUGCUGAACUGGAAUGAUCAUUAUUGCUGACCACUAUAUAUUAUACUCCUCUUUGCUUUUUUUAACAAGUUAAAUAUUUCACCUUCUUCACAUCUCUUUUUAAACCUACUAUAUCCACCUUUGUCCAAGCUCAGUUGUAGAAUGUCCUUUAUCCAGAAUUAAAACCUUCUGAGGGACUUUUG